rnacentral:lncRNA from 1 species
CCCGUUGAUCUGCUUCAGGAGCCCAAAAUAAAAUAGCUGAAAUGCACCGUUUGCUGCCCGGAACUGCUCCAAAUGGUUCAAAUAUUCCUCCCACGACAUGGUGUCGUUUUGGCGCUUCGGCCAGCAAAAACCUAGCUAUUUAAACUCAUUUUUCUUUCUUUCUCUUCAUUUCCCACUUCCUCAUUCUCUUACUAACAGCCACUCUCUCACUUCUCUCUAACCCACACGAAUAAAACCCUAGCCACCAACGUUCUACCACCGUUUUCCACCACUAAACGGUUGGAUUCCCUUUACCCACAGCCCCAAGCGGUAUCUAAGCCCUCAAAUGUUUAAAACUCUCCUCCCAAAACAAACCUUCAAAACCAAAAAACGUUGGCAACGUUGGCUCUUAUUUUUUGUUUCUUUGU